UGCCAACUUCUCCAGUGACUUGGCAGCGAAAGUUUUAGAAAUUGCAUAUACAGAAACUAGAUCGUAAGGUACGGAAACCACACUGCCAAACAGGAAAAUAAAAUUUUUGCAGACAUCUCAUUGGCCAGCAUAAAAGAGAGGGAAAGAUUUAAACACAAAGAAAACAUUAACCAGAGGGGACUAUAUACCAAAAGACAAAACAAAAAUUUUCUUCUAUAUAUCUGUGAAUGUCCAAUUUUCAUCACAUGCCUGUGGGGAGAACAACUGUAAAUUUGACGGGAUACACAAUAUGUGGUUAGAAAAUUAACCUGCCGCCUCGAGCAAAGGAUCUCAUGAAGGAUUUAAAUCUAACAUCUCUCAAGGCUAAGUCAGGCAGAAGGAUUGCAAGGAUGCAAAAAUCACUCCUUACUGGUCUGAGAAAGGUAUGCCUGGUCAGCUUUGGCAAGGCGAUUCUGGAACAUAGACCACUCGUUUCUGCACCUUGCUCUUACCUGUGAAUAGAAUAGGAAAACAGAACAAGGCAGGGGGGGAGGGGGGGUGUUGUGGAGGAGAGAGAGGAGAGAGAGGGUUGUUGUGGCUACUUUAGAACUUUUGUUGAUAUGGAAUUAUAAAUAUAUUUCAAAUACAGAAAUUAGAAACUAUGGGUUCUAACAGAAGAGCCGAGUACUCGUACAUACCCCUUCCCAUGGAGCUUUCCCAUUCUCUGACUCUCCCUGGUUCCCAAGAGAAGGAACUACUUGAUGAAUAAUCCACUGUGAAUCAACCACUCCAAUUUUUUCAUGUGCAGGCUGUUGAGUAAAACAAAAUUAUUAAAACUUUAAGAUGGCAGUGACUAGCUGAUCAAAGAUAUGAAGUGGCUCUCCCUGUUUACACAACGAAAACUUGCUUGGCAUUAUGCAAUCUAAUUAUAACAUGGUAAUCAUCUUGCAAAAAAUAGAUACCUAUUAUAAAAAACUGCAGAGAGAAGACGUGUAGAAGCAUGCCUGUGCAAACAUAAAGACACAGGUAGACAGACAAACAUAUAGGUCAUUUUUGCAUUUGACUUAUUGAACUCUCAACUGCUUUUUGAAUGAGAUGGAUUUUGAAAAUCACUUAUCCUUUGUGUGGUCUGAAAUUUUAACAGACUCAAAUCACCCAUUGGCAUCCAUAAUCUGAUGCCAUGCAUAUGUCUCUGUCAAUAAAAAAAGAACAAAAUCCUCUACAUAGAUCAUAUAAUAAGCUUUGACAGAAUUUCUCCCACUACAUAUUUUUAUAGACAUUAUACUGAGUUUCCUUUCCCAAAUAAGAUGUGAAAGGUAGAAACAACAAAUGAGCCUACAUGAAAAAGAUGACCAAUGCUCUGCUGCCAUACCACCAACAGGCUUCAUCAACAUGACAUUUAUCAUCUCUUAAUAGGCACAUUUGCAAGAAAACAAAUGAAAGCGUAUCCUGCAAUGCCUUCAAUUACAAAAAAGAAAAGGCCACAAUAGAUGAAAACCACUGACCUCUACACAUCUUCUGAGAGCAAAAUCCAAUCCCCAUCCAUGCACCAAAUCAUUCUGAAUCAUAUGCCACACA
rnacentral:misc_RNA from 1 species